GACGAACGCUGGCGGCGUGCUUAACACAUGCAAGUCGAGCGGUAAGGCCCUUCGGGGUACACGAGCGGCGAACGGGUGAGUAACACGUGGGUGACCUGCCUUUAGCUCUGGGAUAAGCCUGGGAAACUGGGUCUAAUACCGGAUAUGACCUCAUGACGCAUGUUGUGGGGUGGAAAGCCUUGUGCGGCUAGAGAUGGGCCCGCGGCCUAUCAGCUUGUUGGUGGGGUGANGGCCUACCAAGGCGACGACGGGUAGCCGGCCUGAGAGGGCGACCGGCCACACUGGGACUGAGACACGGCCCAGACUCCUACGGGAGGCAGCAGUGGGGAAUCUUGCGCAAUGGGCGAAAGCCUGACGCAGCGACGCCGCGUGAGGGAUGACGGCCUCGG
rnacentral:rRNA from 1 species